rnacentral:rRNA from 2 species
UACGUAGGGUACAAGCAUUAAUCGGAAUUAUUGGGCGUAAAGGGCGCGUAGGCGGGGAUGUAAGUCAGGUGUGAAAUACCAAAGCUCAACUUUGGUGCUGCAUUUGAAACUGCAUUUCUUGAGGACUGACGGAGAAAGCGGAAUUCCAUGUGUAGCGGUGAAAUGCGUAGAUACAUGGAGGAACACCGGUGGCGAAAGCGGCUUUCUAGUUUUUACCUGACGCUGAGGCGCGAGAGCAAGGGGAGCAAACAGG